CAAAAAGAUGUUCAACGGGACUACCUCAGUGAGUCCUGGACAGUUGCAUUAUUAUCACACGGAUUUCUACUACUCAAUGCCGGAUUUGAAUACUUUAUGUUCGUCACAAUCGUAAAUUCCCGCCUUCAAGUUAGCCGAGUUCCCAACCCACAUUUUCACCGCAGCCAACUUCACUUCACAUGAGUUUCCCGAGUAAUAUUUUUCUCGUUCUCUUAAGAGAGAGCAACCUACCACCACUCAAAGAAAUCUUAAUUAUAUUUCACUCUGUAUUUUCGUCCUAAUAUUCCUUCUUACAAUAUGAAAAAUAAAACCAAUAUUUAAUUUUAAUGAAAACCAGA
rnacentral:misc_RNA from 1 species